AACCAAACAAAAAAUGCCUAACAGAGUUAUUGUGGACAAAGGAUUAAAGAACACAGUAUUCUGCAGUAUGCAAGACACAAGUUUCACCUUGGAUGGAGACUCAUUUAUCCUUCAUAUAAACUCUAUGGAGUACACCGUGAGAUUUGAUUAUGUAAUUUACCACAGCAAUACAUUUGUGAGUUCUUUAAAGUAGGAAAUUUUUGGUGAAUCCUGAGGACACAUCUUUUAAGAAUCAUAUUUUGGGGUCCUGAGUCACGCGGAAGACCCCAAAUCACCCCACUGCACACAGGCAGGUCUGCCCACACCCUGCCGAGGUCCCCAGUCACGCGGAACACAUGCCAAAUCAGCCCGCUGCAGACAGGCAGGUCUGUGCAUGCCCUACUGAGGUCCUGAGUCACGUGGAAGACACUGAAUCACCCCACUGCAGACAGGGAGCCACCUGAUUC
rnacentral:lncRNA from 1 species